UCUAACUCAAAAUUUUCAAUUGUUUAAAGCUUUCGAUAAACCAACAAUUGGAUUUUUAAUAAUUUUGGAUUAUACUUACGAGUUUCUAAAAUUGAUGGGGUUUUUACGAAUGAAUCUUUAUUUCUUUAGAUUUUAAACCCCAUAUCUAAAUACCACAAUUUUGGGUUUUCUAAAUCUGCUCUCAAACUUGGGUUCUCAAUCCAUAAAUUGUUUAUAACCAAGAAUUCUGGUUGAGAUCUGCUACUGUUGCUUCCUUUCCUUUGAGUUUCUUGUUCAAAUUGUGCUUCAAUGGUUGCAAACUUGCAACUCUUAGUAAAUAAAAGGAGUAUGAAUGGAAUUUAAAUCUAGUUCUGGUUGGCCUUGUUGUUUAGCAUCUAGUUCUCCCCUUGUUUUUCAAUCCGUCAAAUUUAACGAAAAGGCUGCAGUUUUCAUCUUACAAACAACUAAUUAACAAAGUCUUCCUAGUCUAAAUUUGCAAGUGUUCCUAUGGCCUAUGUGAAAGGUUACGAAGUGAAGAAGAUGAAGGUAAAUUGGAUAAGUCGAUAGGAAUUGAUAUGAUUUAUACCGUAUUUUGAAGGUAAAUAAAUUAGUAAGUUGGUGGUUGGUAUUUUCACAGAUGUUGUUGAGCACUAGAACGAGGGGGCUAAACAUUUCGGGGAGGUUGGCUUGAAGGUGUUGGUAGUAGGUAUUUUGUGGAUACAUGUUGUGUGGUUGAUGAGGAGUGAACUGCGGCACGACUUGUUGCAUGAAGGGAGGUGUCCCUAGAACGGCGCUGGUACCUGCAACAUAAGGGAAAGGAGUUACGAAAUCAUGACUAACCGGAACAACUGACCUGGUAGGAGUGUUGUAUAGGGAAUAGUUUCGAGAGGAGUCCGGGCGGAGCGGAGUGUGUGGGAACGCCGCUUGUGGUGCUUGACUGGCUAGGGGAACCGCCAUUAUCUAAGGAGGUGCUCCUGGUGUAGAAGUGACUAAGUUUGCAACACGUUGGACGACUUGUUGGGAGAAGAUUUGAUCCCAGGGAGUUUGGGUCGUCGGUGUUGGUGUUGGCCUUUGCGAUAGCGCCGAGACGGGGAAAGGCAUCGACAAGUGUAGGGAGGUUUUUUUUUUUCCCGUUUCCUACAAGGGGGGGUUUUAGGAGGCCGUUCGGCUCGUUUAGAGAACCGUUUGAAUUUUUGCACCUCGAAGGAGUCGCCACCACACUUUAUUUAAGGUCUUGUUUGGAAAGACCGCAAAUGACUCUAUUUUUGGAUAAGGUCUUGAAUCCUUGAAACGGAUGGGUGAGAUCCGGGCUCGGGAACGAAAAUGCUUAUUCGGCGAGCUUUAGAAAUAUUCAAGUACGUUGGCACAACAUUAGUUCGAAAAUAAACCCUAGAUUAGACUAUGUGGGUUUGAAUUUUAGAGCAAAAUAGAAUUUCUAAUUGUACGGUGGUCACUUUGCUUUAAAGAUUGAUUUAAGGAACCUAAGGCCAGUUUGUCCAAAAAUAUCUUCGUUAAGCGUGAUGUAACCUUUGUAUUUUGUUGUAUUUAA